GUCUUUUAAUUGAAGGCUGGUAUGAAUGGUUGGAUGAAAAAUGAUCUUUCUUUAUUUUAUAAAAAUAAAUUAAUUUUUUAGUCAAAAAGCUAAGAUAAUUUUAUAGGACGAGAAGACCCUAUAGAACUUUAUUUUUAUAUUUUUAUAAAUUUUAUAGAUUUAUAAAAAUUUAUAAAAAUAUAUUAAUUUUGUUGGGGUGAUUGAAAAAAUUAUAUAACUUUUUCUAUUUUAUACAUUUAUAUAUGUAAUUUUGAUCCUUUAUUAUGGAUAAAAAGAUUAAGUUACCUUAGGGAUAACAGCGUUAUUUUUUUGGAGAGUUCUUAUCGAUAAAAAAGUUUGCGACCUCGAUGUUGGAUUAAAAUAAGUAUCAGGGGCAGAAUAUUGUUUACUAGGUCUGUUCGACCUUUAAAUUUUUACA
rnacentral:rRNA from 1 species